UACGUAGGUGGCAAGCGUUGUCCGGAUUUACUGGGCGUAAAGGGCGUGCAGGCGGUCUGUUAAGUGCAGGGUGAAAGCUCCCGGCUCAACUGGGAGAGGUCCUUGCAUACUGGCGGACUUGAGGGGGGUAGAGGAAAGUGGAAUUCCAGGUGUAGCGGUGAAAUGCGUAGAUAUCUGGAGGAACACCGGUGGUGUAAACGGCUUUCUGGACCAUUACUGACGCUGAUGCACGAAAGCGUGGGUAGCAAACAGG
rnacentral:rRNA from 1 species